rnacentral:rRNA from 1 species
AGGACGAACGCUGGCGGCGUGCCUAACACAUGCAAGUCGAGCGGGGACAUACGACGGAUAGGAAGUUUCGGAUGGAAUUGAAGAUGUAUUGUUCUAGCGGCGGACGGGUGAGUAACGCGUGAGCAACCUGUCCCUUACAGGGGGAUAACACAGCGAAAGCUGUACUAAUACCGCAUAAGACCACGGGGAGACAUCUUCCAGGGGUCAAAGGAGCAAUCCGGUAAGGGGUGGGCUCGCGUCCGAUUAGAUAGUUGGUGAGGUAACGGCCCACCAAGUCGACGAUCGGUAGCCGACCUGAGAGGGUGAUCGGCCACAUUGGGACUGAGACACGGCCCAAACUCCUACGGGAGGCAGCAGUGGGGAAUAUUGGGCAAUGGGGGGAAACCCUGACCCAGCAACGCCGCGUGAGGGAAGAAGGUUUUCGGAUCGUAAACCUCUGUCCUUGGUGAAGAGGAAGAGACGGUAGCCAAGGAGGAAGCCCCGGCUAACUACGUGCCAGCCGCGGC